rnacentral:rRNA from 1 species
UACGAGGGGGCGAGCGUUGUUCGGAAUUAUUGGGACGUAAGGGUGCGUAGGCCGGUUCCGCAAGUCCAUGUGUGGAAAUCCUUCGGGCCUCAACUCGAAGUCGUGCACGGGGAAACUGCGGGGCUUGAGUGUGGGAGAGGUGAGUGGAAAUUCUCGGUGUAGCGGUGAAAUGCGUAGAUAUCGGGAGGAACACCUGUGGCGAAAGCGGCCUCACUGGACCAUAACUGACGCUGAUGCACGAAAGCUGGGGGAGCAAACAGG